rnacentral:tRNA from 1 species
GAGGCCUUAGCUUAAAUUAAAGUGGCUGAGUUGCAAUCAGUAGAUGUGGAUUUUAACUACAGGUCUU